CAGUGUGGUGCUAUUUCCAGUGGUAUCAUAAGUGGGAUCUAUAGCCAUGUUGGAUAUGGUAGGACUCUUGGCAGUGAGAGGGUUAAGAAUCAGCACUUCACCAUUUCUUCAAUGAACUCAUGCUUGGCUCUUCCCCAUGCAUAUAGAAUGCAGCUCACAUAGAGAGUGAGCGCAUGCUGUUGUGAUCUCAUCCUGUAGUGGGACAUUACUUUGUUGGCUCCCACACUUGAAGCAAUUUGAAUUUCUCAGCAGCUAUACAUCACCAAUUUUGACAGAAUUUGCAGGUUUGUUCUUCACUCCAGGUCUAAUGGAUGAAAUGAAACUUGGUGAGCUCCCAGAAUUGGACAACCUUCAGAAUGCUGAGACAGACCAAAUGAAGGAAGAGGAAAAGUUCUCUGAGACUCAGCGCUCCCAGCACCUGUGGCAGGGUCCCAUUGUUUCAGUGAAAAGCCACUGGACUUAGCGAACCACUAAGUGGUCUCUGUGAUGACAAAAGCUUCUGAGAUCCCAGAAUCUUUUGUUCACCCCUCGUUUUUUCCAGCCAAAGAAGAUGGUUGCCUAACCUGUGGUUGCCUGUUUUAUUCACCGCUAUAUGUAUCACCCAACAUAUAGAAGCCUCCCUGGGCCACAAGAGGCACUUAAAAAUAUUUAUUAAAGGAAAGAUAAAUGAUGGAAAUAAGAAACACCAAAGUGAGGAAAAAGGAUCUAACAGUGGAACAUUAUGUGCGCACUGUCUUUGGACAAAAUAUUCUCUAUACAAAGUCAUAUGGCAAAUCUAAACAUAUCCCAGUGGAACUUUGGGGAUUCUGUUUUCUCCAGUGUGAUGAUAAGUGAUGCAAGAGAUUCCCCAAAGUAACAUACAAAGACAAUAUUAAGAAGACUCUCAAACUCAAAUAUUAUUUGAAAUAUCUAGAGAAUUUAUGGAAGAUUCUAUGUAACAUUUUUCUAAAAUAUUUUUGGAUAAAAUUCCUCUUCUCAAAACUAACUGAGUAUAUUGUGUUAUUUCAUACCUUUGCUCUUACUGAGUACUCUGUCUAGAAUGUCUUUGCAUCCUGUAUCAGAUGAAAUGGCAUCCUCCAAGGUUCAGUGGAAAUAGAACUAAACCCCUUCUCUAAAGCCUUUUCUAAUUCUCCUGGUAGGAGUAAAUUCUCCUUCUUCUGAAUUUCCUUCACAUCUUUAUUUAUCAAUCUAACGACCUCUAGACAUUUUCAACAUAUUUAACAGCUAUGUGAUUUACACAAAAAACUUUUGGAAGGUAGUGGGUAAUAUCUCUUUGCAUCCUCCAUCUUAACCGGGUGAAUGUUUUGCACACACCAGGCUGUCAAUCUAUGCAUGGUGAAUACUAAUUGAAUAAUAUCUCUCUUUUUUUCACAGAAGGAGCAGCUCAAAAAUUACACAGUUUGGCAGCAGAGCUUUUUUUUUUUUUUUUCCUCCAAUUCUAGCCAGUCUGUCUCCUUUAUAAAAUAAAAGGCUGGAGAUUCAGGCUAUCUAAAAAAGAAGAAAAAAAGCAGGGGGGACUAUUAAUGGCAGCUAUAAACCAGCUGCUACACCUUUUAAGCUCCAAGAAUUCAGCAUAAUCUGAUUUCCCAGGAAUCUCAGAGCUGUUGAAUGUUUGAUUCCACACUAAAAUUCUGAACAUCAGCACUAAGAGGCUAAUUAGUUAACCAAUCAUUAAGGUUCCUACUUCUCUCUAUGUUCUGCUUAGCUGUUAGAUAAAAGGUGGCAACAGAGAAGCUAAAACUAAAGCUCUGGUCAAAGAAAAUAUAGAGAAGGGGAGUGAAUAAAGA